GGAGAACAACAAAGAAAUGACACUUCUUCACCUAGACCUGCUUUGCCACAUUAUAACUAGCCAGCUGAGCAGUAUAUAAUGUUACAUGUGAAAUAUUUGGACCCUUCUCAGGGAACAUUUCAUUCUCAAUGAAGGAGUUGUUUUCACGUGUUUAGAGAGCAGAGUCUCAGUGAUACUGAAAGCUGGCAUUCGGUCAACCAUCAUCAAAGAGGAGUUGUAGACUUGAUGCUGAAGAGAGGUGGAGGUCUGGUUAGGCUUUGGAAAGCCUGUUUGAGGAAAGAAGAGGUGUGUUUUCAGCCCAGACAGCUGAAGUUGCAGAUUCCAGAUGGAUUUCGCUGUGCUGAUUAGACUCUGCAGGAUCAGGGUGCUGUGAUCGUGGAGAGGGUUAUCGAGAGAGAGGCUGAAGCUUUAACCGAACAAAACUGCAUGUCAAGAUGUAAUGAGGUCGAUUUUUGGAGAAUGGAUUUUCAAGGGGUUUUUAAAAUUCUCUCAAAUUUUUGCCUUGCUUUGAUUGAUAUAUCAGUAUGAAGGACUUAAUAGAGUAAAUGUGCAUGUCAACUUGUAAUAAGAUGUUAUGGACACUCUAAAUCUUUGAUUGAUGCACCAGUAUGAAGGAGAUAAUUUUUUAAGUAUUCAUUUGAGCUCUAAAUAUUCUUUAGAAAUGGAGCGUGCAAUUUCUGUGCCAUUAACAGCACCAAACUGCUUUCAGAUCAGUUUCCUGAACACUCCUCCUGUCUGCCAUUGGUCGGACAAAAAGAUAAUCCCGCCUUCAAACUUACACUAUUGAGUGCUAACUUAUAAAACUUUAAAGACAGACCUUCUGUGAGCUACGGUAUUGUUAAUCAAUGGUAUAUGCUUU